AACUCAGCAGGGUCAGGUCUGGGCACUCCAGGCCGCCAGCCCCCUGAGUGAGCCCUGGGCCGGAGGUAGUUGUGGGUCACAGGCACCCCAGCCAGAACACCCACAGUGGGUAGAUGUGUGGGGACCGGAUGUGGGUCCUCUCCUGAGAGACGUGCAGAUGGGGAGAGGCUGGGCAGUUCUCAGCACAGCUGGAGCAUCUACCUGUCACCACCUCGGAGCCUCCUGGCCCCGUGGGGGCGGCCCUGGGAGCAGGGUCGGCAGUGAAGAGCAGAGAAAGGCAGUUGGGGAUGUUGCCACUGUCCCCCGAGACCACCCUGCCAUGGAGACGAGGGAGCUGUCCCUUCGCGGAAGGGGGCUGGCCAGCAAGAAGGACAGAGAGUGGACUGGCCGAGGACCGCUGAGCUCAGGACCCAAGGAGGACUCUUCUAGGAGACGAGAGAGCGAACGCCAGGGACCCUGUGCAGGCCUGCUCCUCCGUUUGCAAGGGCAGGACUCGGAUCCAGGCCAGCAGCUGCCCAGCCCAAGGCUCCUUGCACCACCGUGUGAGCCACAUACUUUCCGGAUAGGAGAAGGUCCAGAAG
rnacentral:lncRNA from 1 species